UACGUAGGGGCCGAGCGUUGUCCGGAGUUAUUGGGCGUAAAGCGCGCGCAGGCGGCCUCGCGCGCCCGACGUGAAAGCCCCCGGCUUAACCGGGGAGGGUCGUUGGGGACGGCGGGGCUUGAGGGCGGGAGAGGGCGGUGGAAUUCCCGGUGUAGUGGUCAAAUUCGUAGAUAUGGGGAGGAACACCGGUGGCGAAGGCGGCCACCUGGACGGUAACUGACGCUGAGACGCGAAAGCGUGGGGAGCAAACAGG
rnacentral:rRNA from 1 species